ACGAACGCUGGCGGCGUGCUUAACACAUGCAAGUCGAACGGUAAACCUUGGAGCUUGCUCUAAGGGGAUCAGUGGCGAACGGGUGAGUAACACGUGAGUAACCUGCCCCGGACUCUGGAAUAAGCGCUGGAAACGGCGUCUAAUACCGGAUACGAGACGCAACCGCAUGGUUAGUGUCUGGAAAGUUUUUCGGUCUGGGAUGGACUCGCGGCCUAUCAGCUUGUUGGUGAGGUAAUGGCUCACCAAGGCGACGACGGGUAGCCGGCCUGAGAGGGCGACCGGCCACACUGGGACUGAGACACGGCCCAGACUCCUACGGGAGGCAGCAGUGGGGAAUAUUGCACAAUGGGCGAAAGCCUGAUGCAGCGACGCCGCGUGAGGGAUGACGGCCUUCGGGUUGUAAACCUCUUUCAGCAGGGAAGAAGCGAAAGUGACGGUACCUGCAGAAGAAGCACCGGCUAACUACGU
rnacentral:rRNA from 1 species